rnacentral:rRNA from 1 species
AAAUUGAAGAGUUUGAUCAUGGCUCAGAUUGAACGCUGGCGGCAGGCCUAACACAUGCAAGUCGAACGGUAACAGGAAACAGCUUGCUGUUUCGCUGACGAGUGGCGGACGGGUGAGUAAUGUCUGGGAAACUGCCUGAUGGAGGGGGAUAACUACUGGAAACGGUAGCUAAUACCGCAUAACGUCGCAAGACCAAAGAGGGGGACCUUCGGGCCUCUUGCCAUCGGAUGUGCC